UACGGAGGGUGCAAGCGUUAAUCGGAAUUACUGGGCGUAAAGGGUACGUAGGCGGUUAAAUAAGUUGGAUGUGAAAGCCCCGGGCUCAACCUGGGAACUGCAUUCAAAACUGUUUGACUAGAGUGUAUAAGAGGUUAGCGGAAUUCCAGGUGUAGCAGUGAAAUGCGUAGAUAUCUGGAGGAACAUCAGUGGCGAAGGCGGCUAACUGGUAUAACACUGACGCUGAGGUACGAAAGCGUGGGGAGCAAACGGGAUUAGAUACCCCGGUAGUCCACGCCCUAAACGAUGAGAACUAGCUGUUGGUUACGUAAAUGUAGUCAGUAGCGAAGCUAACGCGUUAAGUUCUCCGCCUGGGGAGUACGACCGCAAGGUUGAAACUCAAAGGAAUUGACGGGGGCCCGCACAAGCGGUGGAGCAUGUGGUUUAAUUCGAUGCAACGCGAAGAACCUUACCAUCCCUUGACAUCCUCAGAAUUUGUCGUAAUGACUUAGUGCCUUCGGGAACUGAGAGACAGGUGCUGCACGGCUGUCGUCAGCUCGUGUCGUGAGAUGUUGGGUUAAGUCCCGCAACGAGCGCAACCCCUAUCUUUAGUUGCCAGCACGUAAUGGUGGGAACUCUAGAGAGACUGCCGGUGAUAAGCCGGAGGAAGGUGGGGACGACGUCAAGUCAUCAUGGCCCUUACGGGAUGGGCUACACACGUGCUACAAUGGUACAUACAGAGGGUCGCCAACCCGCGAGGGGGAGCUAAUCCCUAGAAAAUGUAUCUUAGUCCUGGAUCGCAGUCUGCAACUCGACUGCGUGAAGUUGGAAUCGCUAGUAAUCGCGAAUCAGCAACGUCGCGGUGAAUACGUUCCCGGGCC
rnacentral:rRNA from 1 species